rnacentral:rRNA from 1 species
GACGAGCCUCACAAGCGUUAUUCGGAAUUACUGGGCUUAAAGGGUGCGUAGGCGGCGCGGCAAGUUGGGUGUGAAAUCCCUCGGCUCAACCGAGGAACUGCGCCCAAAACUACCGUGCUCGAGGAAGAUAGAGGUGAGCGGAACUUACGGUGGAGCGGUGAAAUGCGUUGAUAUCGUAAGGAACACCCGUGGCGAAAGCGGCUCACUGGGUCUUCUCUGACGCUGAUGCACGAAAGCUAGGGGAGCAAACGGG